rnacentral:rRNA from 1 species
UACAGAGGCCACGAGCGUUAGGCGGAAUCACUGGGCUUAAAGCGUGUGUAGGUGGAUGACUAAGUACCUUGUGAAAUCCCACGGCUCAACCGUGGAACUGCUUGGUAUACUGGUUGUCUUGAGGCACUCAGGGGCGAGCGGAACAGAUGGUGGAGCGGUGAAAUGCGUAGAUAUCAUUUGGAACGCCAAUGGUGAAAACAGCUCGCUGGGAAUGAUCUGACGCUGAGACGCGAAAGCCAGGGGAGCGAACGGG